rnacentral:lncRNA from 1 species
AUGAGUCGGCCGCUGUGUCCCAGCCCUGCCCCACCUGCUGACACCUCUGUCCUCUCCAGGUUGGGGCCCGGCCUCCUCUCUCCCAUGCUCAGCCCGCUGAAGGGGCUCGGGCCACCACCGCUGCCACCGUCCUCCCAGAGCCAGCCUCCAGGGACCCAGCCCUUCUCUGCGCUGCCCAGCAAGCCGCCCUACACCCCCUUCCAGAGCCCCCCACCCCCACCACUGCCCGGCCCACAAGGCUACCAGGGCAGCUUCCACUCCAUCCAGAGCUGCUUCCCCUACAGCAACUGCUUCCGGAGUGGUGAGCCAGCAGCCAGCGGGGACGGGCUGGCCGGGGAGGCCCCCGGCUUCACCCAGCUGCGGCCCAAUGGCUACCCCAGCCUCAGCGCACCUUUACCUGCCUCAGGCUACGAGGCCCCGUGCCCCACAGCGCUACCCCCACAGUCAUCUGAAGAUGUGGCGUCCGGUGGCCCUGAGGACUGCAGCUUCUUCUCCAAUGGCGCCUUUGACCACUGUCUGAGUCACAUCCCCUGCAUCUACACAGACACCUGAAGGAGGGCAGGCCCUGCCGGCCGGCUCACAGAUCUACGUCACCACUUGGCAUGGCUCCCCCGUUGCCACACGAGGCUGGGCUGCCACACGGGGCUGAGCUCAGAGGUGCCCGCCAGGGACCAGGACUGUGUGACAGGCCCUUGGUUGUGUCUUCCUGUUUCUCUCGCCUACGGUUUUGAAAUCACAGACCUCGUGUAUAUAAAAUGUAUGGAACUCGUUUCUCAUUCCCUUGCCAGUUUUAUAUUUUUGUUUUACAAGAGAAACAUUAAAAACUGGAAACAAGACUCAGGAGCCUGGUUCUGCUUAGGGAUUAAGCCUAGAGGCCACGACUGGGAGGCUCCCACCAAGCUCAGAGG